AUCUCCUCAGCAUCCUGAGCAGCUGGGACUACAGGUCCUCCCCCCAGCCCCGCAUCCAACCCAGCCUUGUAGGUGUCUGGUCAUACCGUCCACUAGAGAGCAAAGCGUCUCUGGAGUCUGCAGCAGCAGGUCUGACGAACGAACAAGGGAAGGAGAGAGCCUGCACCGCCACCACUCCCUCAGGGGAGCUUGCCUAAAGUUUGCUACUGAGCAUCCGGACAGAAGCCACUGGCCAGCACUGACGUUCCACGAGGAGCCCAGAGGAUGCGACGAUCAUCUGCCCAUUAUUUUUACUCUCGGACCCCCCACCUCCGGAGUCUGGGGGUCCCUCUGUGUCAGUGGGAACCGGGAGGAGCUCGAGCCUGAGUGCUAGCUGCGUUUGCGAGAUUUCAGGGGGUUUGAGCUAAGCCAGAGGUGGUCCACGUCGGCCCUCCUCCCUCC
rnacentral:lncRNA from 1 species